rnacentral:lncRNA from 1 species
AGAAGAGGGCGAAUUAUGAGAUCACAUAAAAGUAGUAGAGGAAGACGACGGAGAAGGACUGGAGGAAGCAGGACCGGCGCAGGUGAGUGGCGAUCUUCAUAAAGCUCAGAUAUUGCGCCUCCGCAUGCCUGGACAAACCAUGGCCAGCAUGAACCUCCAGCGCAGCAAAAUCCAGAGAUUGCACGAACAAGAAGACGAAGAUCCCGACCCUCGGAUCUACUCCACUCUACUACCAACAACAACAAUACUGGGACUGAAAAUCAAAUCACAGGACGAGGAGGCGGGAAUUCGAUCUGGUCAAAGCUCCGGGAGGAAGGAACGCUCGACGCUCGAGCUAGGCAAAGCAGGAAUGGGCUUGGAAGCUCGGGCUAGUGAGGAAGGACGGAGGGG